rnacentral:lncRNA from 1 species
CUCAGCUGACUCCGGCCGGGCAAAGUCUCCAGUGGCGUAGCGCGCAGCGCUCACCCGGCUCGUCUCAGAGCCCUGAAGUCCGCCCAAGUUUUGAGUCUUGCCAUGAAUGAGGUUGUAUCAGAGUAAGAUGGACGGUAGCUUUGAUUGUGAUUGUGGUGAGCUGGAGCCACCUGAUCACUAACAAAAGACAUCUUCUGUUAACCAACAGCCGCCAGGGCUUCCUGUUGAAAUAAAUAUAUAGCAACAAAGGAAAAAAAGAAGCAAAACGGAAAUAGUGCUUACCAGCACCUUAGAAUGAUGCUGCUCAGGACCAGUCCAACACUGAAUGUAUCUGCACUGUGAGGAGAAUGUUCAUAGAAGCCUGUUGUGUGCAUAUUUAUUCACAUUUUUGUUAAAUGUUAAAUCGUUUAGCACGGUAAUCUGAGUGCACAGUAUGUCAUUUCAUUCCGUUUGAGUUUCUUGUUUUCGUUAAAUGUCUGCAGAGUUGCUGCCCCUUUCUUGAACUAUGAGUACUGCAAUCUUUUUAAUUCUCAAUAUGAAUAGAGCUUUUUGAGCUUUAAAUCUAAGGGGAACUCGACAGGCCUGUUUGGCAUAUGCAAUGAACAUCAAGAAACCAUCUUGCUGUGGAAGCAUAAUUAUUUUUCUUCUCCCUUUUU